rnacentral:lncRNA from 1 species
GGGCGUGGCUCGAGUCUGUGCUCGGCAGCUCUGGGCAUGCGCACGUUGGAGUCAAGGUUCGCGGCUGCGUACCCUGUGGCGGGAAACGCUGUUUGAAGCUGGUAAGGAAGAAGGGAGACACAGGGAACUCGGCCGAGCAGGGAAGAGGGCUGCAGAGUCAGGAACACAGGCCUGGGAGAGUGUUGUGAGGGGUCAUGCGGGACGUGGCUGCAGGAGGGACCACCUUGGCUCGGGGCCUCAGGGACCAGUGGUCUGCGCGCCGACCGGAAAGUACCGGAGGGGAUCUCGCGGCUGGCAGGCCCAGGGUUCCUGGGCCUGGUCUGGAGUCGGGUCGCUGCGCCAGGGUCUUGGGCCGAGCGGCGCGCCUGCGAUCAUGCGUAGUCCUGCUUUCACUGGGCGUUUAUGGAGUACUCCGACCCAGCCUCUCACUGUGCAACCCAGGCUGCCCUUGAACUCAUGGUGAUCCCCUCCUGCCUCAGCCUCCCAAGUGCUAAGAUUACAGGAAGUCGCCGACUUGAGCAAGCCUAACCUGAAUACAGUCCUGUCCGGUCUGCCACGGGGUAGACACAGUCACAUCAGCACACCUCACUGAAAGCGCUCCUGCUUCUGUUACUGGCUGCAGUUAAGGAAGCAACCAGAAAUACAGCCCCUGCAUGGCU